rnacentral:misc_RNA from 1 species
GGCUGGGUUUUUCCUUCGAAAGAAGGUUUUUAUCCCAGUC